rnacentral:rRNA from 1 species
CCUGAUCCAGCAAUGCCGCGUGAGUGAUGAAGGCCUUCGGGUUGUAAAGCUCUUUCGCACGCGACGAUGAUGACGGUAGCGUGAGAAGAAGCCCCGGCUAACUUCGUGCCAGCAGCCGCGGUAAUACGAAGGGGGCUAGCGUUGUUCGGAAUUACUGGGCGUAAAGGGCGCGUAGGCGGUGUGUCAAGUCAGGCGUGAAAGCCCCGGGCUCAACCUGGGAACCGCGCUUGAGACUGGCACGCUCGAGUUCGGGAGAGGAUGGUGGAAUUCCCAGUGUAGAGGUGAAAUUCGUAGAUAUUGGGAAGAACACCGAUGGCGAAGGCAGCCAUCUGGACCGACACUGACGCUGAGGCGCGAAAGCGUGGGGAGCAAACAGGAUUAGAUACCCUGGUAGUCCACGCCGUAAACGAUGAGUGCUAGACGUCGGGGCCCUUAGGGCUUCGGUGUCGCAGCUAACGCAUUAAGCACUCCGCCUGGGGAGUACGGCCGCAAGGUUA